CAAGCGCUGGCAUUUGCAAUGACUCUCUGGGCUGCAGCUGCAGGACGGGACCGGGGAACACAGCGCAGCUCACUUGCCCAGACAGUUCUGAGCCCAGACCCUUGAGACUGUAUCCAACCAGCUGAGCUAACUGGACCCGGAGAAAUCUACCAGGAAACAGUGCAGGAAGAAAAAUAAAGGUCUCUCAAGUCAAACAAAGCUAGUAACCCACAGAGCAUAGGGUCCCGAAGAUUUUGCCCUGACCACGGAGUGGGAGAAGCGUUUCGUGGCCGGGAAGAUAUGCCAGGGAAGAUGUCUGGGGCGGGGAUAAAGCAUAAAAUGGUCCCUUCUAAGCCGGGGAGCUGGGGAGCACAGCCACUGCAGGCCGCUGGGGGAACAGAACUCACUAGCCUGGGUUUUGUCUUUUACUUCUGGACAGGGGAGCCACAGACCCUCUGAUUGCCUUGAUUUAUUUAUCAGCAAGCAACUUCUGAAUUUCUCCCUGCGGGCUCCCUCUCCUGAAUCACCAACAUGGUCCCAAGUUUAGCGGGUAGAGGCAGAGGUGUUGGUGGCUGUGGCUCAGUGCCUCAAGAUGAGCCUGCCGUCAUACCCAGGGAACAAAUGCAAAUCGGCAACGUCUACUGCAGUACCACGGUAGUUGAGCUGGAUUUGUAAUCAAAGAAGAAAAUGUGAUGUUCACCAAAUAUUUGUCAGAUUAGAAAUUUCCAAAUCCUCCUGGAUUUAUGAUAACAUAAGAAAGAUGCUUCUAAUGACCUAAGUAAGCAGUGAAACAAAGCUGGUAUUAUGCAUCAAAUAAUUAUCUUCACCUAUGAUGGUGCAUCUGAAGACCCUGCAGAUGUUCCAGGCCUCCACCUACUCCUUUUAGAACUCAGAGUACGUGCCUCUGACAAAGACUUCUACCUGUCCCGUGGUGUCCUCCUCACUCCUCUUUGGCAGUAGAAGGCUGAAGUUAGCUGGACUCAUGGACAUCUCCUACACAGACUUCAUUUGUUUCCUGGUCUUUUUUAUAAGUAUGUUCCCUAGAGGAACAUACUUUUUUAUAAGUAUGUUCCCUAGAGGAACAGAAUCAACAGGAGGUAUAAUUAUAAGAAGGAUAUUUAUUAGAUCAGUUCGCCCAACCAAAAGCUGGACAGUCCACAGUGGCCGUCUGCAGGCUGGAGAGCUGGAGGAACCAUAGCUGCAAAGUACAAGAAGCAGAAGCCCCAGAACAAGAAGGAUCAACAGUUCUACCCUAGCACAAGACCGAAGGCUUCUGGAAAACUCCCUGGAGAAUUACUGGUGGAGUUCCCUUUGGGAAAGUGAAGAAUCGAGAGGAUCACAGCAGCAAUCAAGAACCCAUUCAAGGGGCUGGGGUUGGGGCUCAGUGGUAGAGUACUUGCCUAGUAUGUGGG
rnacentral:lncRNA from 1 species